rnacentral:rRNA from 1 species
CCUACGGGCGGCUGCAGUGGGGAAUAUUGGGCAAUGGGCGCAAGCCUGACCCAGCAAAGCCGCGUGAAGGAAGAAGGCUUUCGGGUUGUAAACUUCUUUUGACAGGGAAGAGUAGAAGACGGUACCUGUCGAAUAAGCCACGGCUAACUACGUGCCAGCAGCAGCGGUAAUACGUAGGUGGCAAGCGUUGUCCGGAUUUACUGGGUGUAAAGGGCGUGUAGCCGGGUUGAGAAGUCAGAGUUUAAAUCCUGCGGCUAAACCGCAGAACUGCAUUUGAAACUGUUGAUCUUGAGUACUGGAGCGGCGGACGGAAUGCCUGGUGUAGCGGUGAAAUGCGUAGAUAUUA